rnacentral:rRNA from 1 species
CCUACGGGGUGCAGCAGUGAGGAAUAUUGGUCAAUGGACGAGAGUCUGAACCAGCCAAGUAGCGUGAAGGAUGACUGCCCUAUGGGUUGUAAACUUCUUUUAUAUGGGAAUAAAAUGUUCCACGUGUGGGAUUUUGUAUGUACCAUAUGAAUAAGGAUCGGCUAACUCCGUGCCAGCAGCCGCGGUAAUACGGAGGAUCCGAGCGUUAUCCGGAUUUAUUGGGUUUAAAGGGAGCGUAGGUGGAUUGUUAAGUCAGUUGUGAAAGUUUGCGGCUCAACCGUAAAAUCGCAGUUGAAACUGGCAGUCUUGAGUACAGUAGAGGUGGGCGGAAUUCGCAGUGUAGCGGUGAAAUGCUUAGAGAUUGCGCAGAACUCCGAUUGCGAAGGCAGCAUACCGGCGGCGAUCUGACGCUGAGGCACGAAAGCGUGGGUAUCGAACAGGAUUAGAUACCCCAGUAGUC